rnacentral:lncRNA from 1 species
UUUAUAUCCCUUUAAUGAAUUCAUGAAGUGAAUAUUGUAGUAUGUAAUUACAGGGUCUUAAUUUUCGUUUUCUAAAAUAUACAGGCUGGUACAUAGAAUACAAAAUUAAAAUGAUAAAGAGAGUAAGAUUUUAUACCUCCACUGACGGGCACUCAAUGACAGUGUUUUGUAGUAAAGUUUUAUGAGGUCAUUAGAAGGAAUUUUUAUUUCUUAUUUUACAAUUACAGUAUCAAUGUACAAGCACCAACAAAUUUAUGGGACUAAAAUUGCUACCCUGAUAUAAUACGAUAUAGUGGUUUAAAAAAUCCAUUCAUUUUAAAGAUUCAUGCCUUUACAUAUUAAAGAAUAAAGAGAAUUUGUCAGGAGUGCUGACUCAGCAAUAGUGCUUCGAUGUACUUGUCAACUAGAGAUAAGAGUCAUGUGACCAUAUGGUAUGGUGUUGCUGCCCAACACUCGAGUGGAAACUUGGGGACCAUCUUGACCUUGCUGCAAGGUCGACCCUUUCCAAUAAAUCAAGCUCCAUGAUGUAACAUUAUCAAUAUAUGAAGCACAAAAAUAAAAGUGUUUUUCUUUUAAUAUAAAUAGGUAACUUCCUUGUAUUCAAUGACAUUUUUUGCGUCAUAAAAUUGAGAAUGAAAUUGGGGAAUGUGCCAAAGGGACAAUAACCAAACUAAAAAGCAGAC